rnacentral:lncRNA from 1 species
CUGCCUCGUAACAAACGUCAUGCGACACCACACCACACCACGCGGCACGUACUACGGUCACACGUUUCCCGGCACACCCAGAUCUCGGGGCCAAGCCCGUCAACAGCAGCGCCAGCGUCCUCCUCGCCAGGGCAGCCCUUGCGCAGGUCCCCUUCUUUCAGGCCCUCCUGCUGCUCCCUGCCAGGGGCUGGCCAGUCGACACCAUCACCACUAGGCGCUUCAGUAUCAGGCAAGCGCUUAGUUGGCCUCGCUCUGGAUCUGCUCGCGCAGCACGGCCACCACCGACUUGAAGGCGAACCUGCAAGAGCGCACACACGCAAACACACAAGCCCGCGUUAGACCUCCGGGCACGACUUGAUGCACUGAACCCGGAACCUACACCGCUUCGGCUUGCUGUCAUAGGCUGUGCGCCAGCUACAAGACUGGAUAGGACACGUGGCUCCACUGCGCCAAUCUCCAGCACACCCCAAACCCCUCGCCACGGCGGCCUGACACGCUCCGCAACCCGGUGCCCUCCUGCUCCCCCUCCCUCGGUCCUCCCCGUCCCUCGCGGCUCUCCCUCCCUCGCUGCUCCCCCUCCCUUGCUCCUCCAACUCCUCGACCCUCUCCUCCAGCCCCUUGCCCCCAGCCCCGGCACCCCCGCCAGCCCUGCACGCACCACUCGGGGAUGUCGUCGCCGGCGCGCAGCAUCUGGCGGAACUUGGUGCCGCUCAGGUUGAGCACGUGCAGGUUCUCCGCCUUGGCGAUGUCUGCGGUGACGUAGCCCUUCUCCUCGGUGUAGGCGAUGUUGAGGCUGGCAACGGUCUGCAUGUUCAGCUCCGCCGCGUGCUUGUUGGCCAGGUCCUGUGGCGUGGGGGCGUGUUGGAAGUGGUGCGGGGAACAGGGAGGGCGGAUUGUUGGUGGCGGUUAGCUAGGUAGGCUCCAUGGUGUGAAUGAUGUGCACGGUAGCCGUGCCGGGUGCAGCUCUUGGUUGGCCGCGGGGCGCAGACGAGCUAGGGGUCAUGGCGCUGAGGGGCUCGCUGUGGCCGCAUCGGCUGCUGCGCUCUCCAACGACUGUGCACACGAGAUGUCCUGCAUUACAUGUGCUGCUCCUCCAUUCACUGUGGCCGGCUCCGUUGUGGCUGUGGCUGUGGCAAAUCCGCAUGACGGCUCCCAUCCCACCAAGGUCCUGCCUCACGCCCAAAUGUCCGGGCCCUCUGCCAUGCGGGACCUUCGCCGCCCUCGUGGUGUCCCCAAGCGCUGCCUCGCAUGUUCUGGGUUAUGCGGCGCCGCGCACCCACGCCGUUUCCUGCUCGCCUUCCAGCCGGAAGUGCUCACAUGACCACCCGCCCCGCCGCGAAGGCGGCUCAAGUGCUGCGCGCUUCCGCCGUUGCCACAUCCCAGCUUGCCACCUCGCAUCGCUGUUUCCUUCCAGCCCUCGGCUUAUUCAAUUCUUGCUCUUGUCCUUGUUCACUGACCUUGCAUUCCUCGUCCAUGCCCGCUCCUCCUUCCUUCCCAAUCCCACUCCCUUGCAUCCCUCACCCCUCCCGCUCUCUCCCUUUCAACGUUUCCUCCGCCCCUUCUCCCUUUUAACGUCCCCUCCUGCCCUCCACCUCCUCCCCUUCCCCUCCUCCCCUCCACCUCCUCCCCAUCCCCUCCUCCCCUUCCCCUCCUCGCCAGCACCCGCAGCCCGCCCUCACCUGGGCGUCGUAGGCGCCGUAGAAGUCCUGUCCGCUGAUGGACGACUUGCAGCCGGCCAUGUCGCGGCCGAUGAUGAAGUGCGUGCAGCCGUAGUUCUUGCGGAUAAUCAUGUGCUGGAUGGCCUCACGGGGGCCGGCCAUGUGCAUGGAGUAGGGCAGGUAGGCCCAGCGCAGGCGGGGGUUCUUGGUCUCCUCCUUCAGCACCUGUGUAGGCAUGUGCGCAUCUGGGUGAGCAUGCGCUUGUGCAUGGGCACGGAAAUGAAACGUGUGCGUGUGUGUGUGUGUGGGUGUGGGUGUAAGCGGUGGUGGUGGUGGUGCGAAUGACGCGGUCCACGUACACUGUCGUGCUGGCUGAAGCGUUUGCCAGUUCCUUGCCUCAAGACUGUGUGCACAACGCUGCGCCGGUGCUGUGCUGUCCUGCCGGGUCCUGACACGGAAUCUGCUGCCGGACCCCCGCUGCGCCGUGCACCCGCCUCAGAAACCGGCACCAAAGCAGCCCGCCGUCUCCGUAUCGCGGCCCGUAGUACGGUAGGCGGAUUCGCUCACCCCCGGCCCGGCCACCGCGACCCAUUUGCCAACCUCCAGCGCACACCCACCUCACCUCGCCCUGGGCCUUUGCGCACCCUCCCCUAUCAGUCCAUCCCGCCUGAUCACCUACCCGAGCCUCGCCGCCUUCCCACCCACCCGCCCCUUCCCUGGACGUCCCUCGCCAUCCUUCCUUCGCCCCUCCCCGCCAUCUCCACCUCCACCGCCCCGCCGCGUCCCCUGCACCCACGCACCUCAUAGGUGCGGAAGCGGACCACGCCGGGGAUGUCGUCGUCCUGGGUGGGGCCGCAGGUGGGGUGCACCAGGCACACGGCGCCGGGGUUGCGCACGUUGGGCGCGUCCAGCGCGCGAAUGAACAGCUCGUAGUGGGCCUUGUGGAUGGGGUUGCGGCACUGGAAGGCCAGCACGUCCUGGUUGGCAGGCAGCGUGGAGCGCACGUCGGCGGGCGAGGCGCAGGGGAAGACGCGGGUGGGCAGGGCCAGGCCCUUGAUGGGGCCGCCGAUGUAGUACUUGCCGCGCUCCAUGGCCACCAUCUGCACGGCAGGGUGCUCCAGCGAGGAGGUGCCGUAGCACUUGAGGCACUCCAGCGGCUUGUUGGGGGUGAACUUGGAGUCCACGGUCAUGACCGCGAGGUCCUGGCCCUGGUAGGUCAGCAGCAGCUUGUCGCCGGGCACGAUGUCCUCCGAGUCGGUGUCCAGCACGAUGGGCAGACCGAACAGCAGGCCGUUGGUCAUGCGCAUGUUGGCGACGACGGAGUCGUACUCCGCCUUGUUCAUGAAGCCCUCCAGGGGGGAGAACGCGCCCACGGUCAGCAGCUCGACGUCGCACGCGUUGCGGUCGCUCAGCUCGAUGCGCUUGUUGCAGGCAGCCUUCAGGGCAGCGUGCUCCGAGGCAGGCGCCAUCAGGUUGACCAGCUUGGCAGCGGGGCCGUGGGGGACCUGCGCAGGCCAGCGAGAACACGUUCAGGCCCAAAUGUGCACGCCAUGCAACACUCGAGUCGCUUGCAGGCGCGAUCCCUCGGUCAAGAGAGCGAGUGCAUUAAUCGUAAUUGGUCCUCACUGUAACACUUGAAUACACAAAAUAUAGCUGCGUGCUGUGCCCGCGGGCUCACCUGCAGGCCCUCAGCGGUGCGAACCUGGGCGACCGGGGCAGCGGUCGCGCGAACGACCACGGAGCUGCGACGGCUGGACUUGGCAGCAACCACAGGCGCAGGGGCGGCAGCGACACGAGCCGCGACACCGCGGGCCACGGGGCCGGCGGCAGCGC